CUCAUUUUGUGUUCUGAACAGGCUAUUUAGACUGAACGGAAGUAGAUUGAGCACAGAAACGGUUUAGAUGCUGGAUUUCAUAAUCAAUUUAUGAAUGUUCUGUAACAUGUCUUUCCGCAUAUCUGAGCUUGGGUAUACGGGGAAACCCAACCCCUUGGGAGGAUGGAAGACAUGGCUAAUUUGAGAGGA
rnacentral:ribozyme from 1 species